rnacentral:lncRNA from 1 species
UUUAAAAAACCCUUCUCCCAUGCCAAAAGGAGAAGUGAUGACAUUGUUGGCCCAUAAAUACAAUGAUAUUCAUUCAAUAAUUACAUGUUAAAUGUUUGUUUUUCCAAAUUAUUUUCACUUUUAUCUUUUUGCAUGAAAUCGGUGAUCACAAAAAACCCUAAAAAAUAUAAUAAAAUCAAUCUUUUCAUCUGCAUAAUGAUUUGCCUUGUUUGAAUUCUAAAAUCUCUUUUAUAUCCAAAAUCAUUAUGCAGGUUGAUCAAACCCAUUG